GACAGUGGGGAAAGGAUGAAUAGUUCAUUUGGAAAGAAGGUAGACAGUGGCUUGUGUUGCUGAUAGUCAAGGCAGAAUCAUCUCCUCUUCUUGAUCUCAGCUUUCUUCCAAAGGAAGAAGAAAUCAUCUAUCUGAUUAAUGGAGAAAGAAGCUUUGAGAAAAUCCUUCUUUCAGAGGAUUUCAAGGCAAAAGACACCAUCCCGGCUUGUGAAUAAGAUGAGGAACAGUUGUUCUGGCCGCUGCAUCUGUGUCCUGGCA
rnacentral:lncRNA from 1 species